rnacentral:rRNA from 1 species
UACGGGGGGGGGCAAGCGUUGUUCGGAAUUACUGGGCGUAAAGGGCUCGUAGGUGGCCAACUAAGUCAGACGUGAAAUCCCUCGGCUUAACCGGGGAACUGCGUCUGAUACUGGAUGGCUUGAGUUUGGGAGAGGGAUGCGGAAUUCCAGGUGUAGCGGUGAAAUGCGUAGAUAUCUGGAGGAACACCGGUGGCGAAGGCAGCCUUCUGGGCCAACACUGACGCUCAUGCACGAAAGCGUGGGGAGCAAACAGG